AUUUGUGAUUUAACCUGCCCAAUGUAAAAAUUUUUUAUUAAUGGCCGCGGUACCUUGACCGUGCUAAGGUAGCGUAAUCAGUUGGCUUUUAAAUGGAGUCAGGUAUGAAUGGGAUAACUGGGCUUAGCUGUCUCAAAGAUAUUUAAUUGAAUUUACUUUUCAAGUGAAAAAGCUUGAUUAAUAAAAAGGGACGAGAAGACCCUUAGAAUUUUGUUUAAAGUAGAGGUAAUUCUACUAUGAUUUUGUUGGGGUGACAGAGAAAUAAUUAAAACUUUCUUUAGAUAAAUCAGUCGGAAUUUUCAGGUUAGGAUAAAUUACCUGAGGGAUAACAGCAUAAUCCUAUAAUUGGGUUUGUGACCUCGAUGUUGGACUAGGGAGCUAAUAGGUUAGCUGCUUAUUGUGCGGAUUCUGUUCGAAUCUUAACCCCUACGUGAGCUGAGUUC
rnacentral:rRNA from 1 species